UGCUAUGAUCUGGCCUUGAGGUGCAGG
rnacentral:piRNA from 1 species